rnacentral:rRNA from 1 species
AGAGUUUGAUCAUGGCUCAGAAUCAACGCUGGCGGCGUGCCUCAGACAUGCAAGUCGAACGAUUAAGACUUCCUUCGGGAAGUGCAUAAAGUGGCGCACGGGUGAGUAACACGUAAGUAAUCUACCCUCGAGUGGGGAAUAACGUUCGGAAACGGACGCUAAUACCGCAUAACGCAGCGGCACCGCAAGGUGACAGUUGUUAAAGGAGCAAUCCGCUUGAGGAGGAGCUUGCGGCAGAUUAGCUAGUUGGUAGGGUAAAUGGCUUACCAAGGCUACGAUCUGUAUCCGGUCUAAGAGGACGGUCGGACACACUGACACUGAAUAACGGGUCAGACUCCUACGGGAGGCAGCAGUCGGGAAUUUUGGGCAAUGGGCGAAAGCCUGACCCAGCAACGCCGCGUGAAGGAUGAAGUAUUUCGGUAUGUAAACUUCGAAAGAAUAGGAAGAAUAAAUGACGGUACUAUUUAUAAGCUCCGGCUAACUACGUG